AUUGAACGCUGGCGGCAGGCCUAACACAUGCAAGUCGAGCGGAUGAAGAGAGCUUGCUCUCUGAUUCAGCGGCGGACGGGUGAGUAAUGCCUAGGAAUCUGCCUGGUAGUGGGGGACAACGUUUCGAAAGGAACGCUAAUACCGCAUACGUCCUACGGGAGAAAGCAGGGGACCUUCGGGCCUUGCGCUAUCAGAUGAGCCUAGGUCGGAUUAGCUAGUUGGUGAGGUAAUGGCUCACCAAGGCGACGAUCCGUAACUGGUCUGAGAGGAUGAUCAGUCACACUGGAACUGAGACACGGUCCAGACUCCUACGGGAGGCAGCAGUGGGGAAUAUUGGACAAUGGGCGAAAGCCUGAUCCAGCCAUGCCGCGUGUGUGAAGAAGGUCUUCGGAUUGUAAAGCACUUUAAGUUGGGAGGAAGGGCAGUAAGUUAAUACCUUGUUGUUUUGACGUUACCGACAGAAUAAGCACCGGCUAACUCUGUGCCAGCAGCCGCCGUAA
rnacentral:rRNA from 1 species